AGAAAGUUCUGUCUUUCUUGUCUCCACUGAAAGGAGAAGGAAGCUGACAGGCAGUGAGACGGGCUAAAGAAGAGAGUUGAGGCAAACUGCUUACCUGAUCUAAGAAUGUCAUUAUGUUGACUGUUACCUACGACCAGCAUCUGAGAAAGCCAUCUCACAAAGACUCUCUAUAACCAAGAAAUUAAUACAGAGCCUUCACCACUGAAAGCACACAGAGUUGAAGCCAGGCUGUACAAGAAGCAUGACAACAACCAGCAUUUGCUUCUGGUGAGAGCUUCAGGCUGCUUCCACCCAUGGCAGACGAUAAACAGAAGCCAGCUCUUCAGAGAUAAAGUGGUAAGAAAGAGGCAAGACAGAAAAAGAAAGAGAUGCCAGGGUUUUUCAACAACUAGUCCUUGAGGGUACCUAAAAGUGAGACUUAUGCACUCCUGUGAGUGUAGCACCAAGCUACUGAUGAAGAAUUCACCCCUACAUCCCAAACACCUCCCACCAAGCCACACCUUCAACACUGGGAAUCCAAUUUCAAUGUGAAAUUUAGUGGGUCCAAACACACUCUAGCAAUGAUGAUGAUCAUGAUGAUUAUGAUCAUGGUUUCAGCAUACAAGGAGCCAAGACUCCUCAUUAGUCUCCUUUCCUAAAUAGUCCUAGCUAUUUUGGUUAAUUAUUUUAUGACUCUGUCACGUCUAAGAAAGAAUUUCCUGAUGAUAUUUUGGUCAUAAUUGCAGUAAUUAUAUUGAUUAGUUGUAGACAAUUAGCAACAUUACAGUGGUCAUUUUUUCUAUCAAAGAACACAGACCACUGUAUCCAUUUAUUUAGAUGUUCUUAAUCUACAGUAAAAUUUUUUUUAUUUAAAGUAUUCUGAUU